GAUCAUGGCUCAGGAUGAACGCUAGCUACAGGCUUAACACAUGCAAGUCGAGGGGAAACGGCAUUGAGUGCUUGCACUCUUUGGACGUCGACCGGCGCACGGGUGAGUAACGCGUAUCCAACCUUCCCAUUACUGUGGGAUAACCUGCCGAAAGGCAGACUAAUACCGCAUAGUCUUCGAUGACGGCAUCAGAUUUGAAGUAAAGAUUUAUCGGUAAUGGAUGGGAUGCGU
rnacentral:rRNA from 1 species